UACAGAGGGUGCAAGCGUUAAUCGGAAUUACUGGGCGUAAAGCGCGCGUAGGUGGGUUGUUAAGUUGGAUGUGAAAGCCCCGGGCUCAACCUGGGAACUGCAUUUGAGACUGCUCUGCUCGGGUGCGGAAGAGGGAAGCGGAAUUUCCGGUGUAGCGGUGAAAUGCGUAGAUAUCGGAAGGAACACCAGUGGCGAAAGCGGCUUCCUGGUCCGACACCGACGUUCAGGCACGAAAGCGUGGGGAGCAAACAGG
rnacentral:rRNA from 1 species